rnacentral:misc_RNA from 1 species
AACGGGGGAGGCGAGCGUUAUUCGUCAUAAUUGGGCGUAAAGGGUUUGGAAGGCGGUUUGUUAAGUUGUAAGUGAAAGGUGUAUAGGCAACUGUAUGAGGUGCUUACAAAACUAAUGAACUAGAGUAUGUGAGAGGAUAUUUGUAUUCUUAGUGGAGGGGUGAAGUUCAAAGAUAUUAAGAGGACAAUCAACUGGCGAAGGCGAAUAUCUGGAACAGUACUGACGCUGCAGGACGAAGGCAUGGGGAUCGAACAGG